ACCCUUUUAGCUCAGUGGUCGAGCGUUGGCUUGGAAGCCAUAGGUCGGUGGUUCGAGCCCAUCAGGGCA
rnacentral:tRNA from 1 species